rnacentral:rRNA from 1 species
AUUGAACGCUGGCGGCAGGCCUAACACAUGCAAGUCGAGCGGAUGAAGGGAGCUUGCUCCUGGAUUCAGCGGCGGACGGGUGAGUAAUGCCUAGGAAUCUGCCUGGUAGUGGGGGAUAACGUCCGGAAACGGGCGCUAAUACCGCAUACGUCCUGAGGGAGAAAGUGGGGGAUCUUCGGACCUCACGCUAUCAGAUGAGCCUAGGUCGGAUUAGCUAGUUGGUGGGGUAAAGGCCUACCAAGGCGUCGAUCCGUAACUGGUCUGAGAGGAUGAUCAGUCACACUGGAACUGAGACACGGUCCAGACUCCUACGGGAGGCAGCAGUGGGGAAUAUUGGACAAUGGGCGAAAGCCUGGUCCAGCCAUGCCGCGUGUGUGAAGAAGGUCUUCGGAUUGUAAAGCACUUUAAGUUGGGAGGAAGGGCAGUAAGUUAAUACCUUGCUGUUUUGACGUUACCAACAGAAUAAGCACCGGCUAACUUCGUG